AGGCCAGUACUCCAUCCCAGACUUCUCAGAAGUCAAAGAAAAAGAAGUAAACUUGGACCAAAAUCAAUAGGUGUUGGUGUUGUUAUGACGUGAUAUAAUAUUUGUGUAUGUGAAUCUGAGGUGACUGCGACUGUGUGAGGAUUUUCAAGACUAUUCAACAUCAUUCUGCAACACGUUUAGUGUGCUGCAAUUGAUUAUCUCAUUUCAGAAAAAAUCUCAUCCCCUUUUAUCUACUUUUAAAUAUUAAUAAUGCAAAUUGUCAUUGAAUCUGAAGAUCAUAAUCACUGAUGCAUUUUAGGUAAAGCAAUCAUGGAGUCAUUUGAAUUCACUUCUUGAAAUAUAUAGUGCAAUAGUUAUACAUGUACUACAAGGCUUUUUACAUGUGAAUAUUUGUAUAUGAGAAUGUUGACACUUGUCAUUAAAGAUAUAAAAAUAAAUGUCUGAAUAUGU
rnacentral:misc_RNA from 1 species